GAUGAACGCUGGCGGCGUGCUUAACACAUGCAAGUCGAACGGAAAGGCUCCUCCUUGCAGGGGUACUCGAGUGGCGAACGGGUGAGUAACACGUGGGUGAUCUGCCCUGCACUUCGGGAUAAGCCUGGGAAACUGGGUCUAAUACCGGAUAGGACCACAUUUUGGAUGGUGUGGUUGAAAGCUUUUCGGUGUGGGAUGAGCUCGCGGCCUAUCAGCGUGUUGGUGGGGUAAUGGCCUAACACGGCGUCGUCGGGUAGCCGGCCUGAGAGGGUGUACGGCCACACUGGGAGUGUGAUAAGGGCCAGAGUCCUACGGGAGGGAGCAGUGGGGAAUAUUGCACAAUGGGCGCAAGCCUGAGGCAGAGACGCCGCGUGGGGGAUGAGGGCGUUCGGGUGGUAGACACCGUUCGCUAGGGACGAAGAGUUUUUGUGACGGUACCUGGAGAAGAAGCACCGGCUAACUACGUG
rnacentral:rRNA from 1 species